rnacentral:lncRNA from 1 species
UUUUUUUUUUACAUUAAAAGGUGCUGUUGGGUUUCCUCCAAUCUUCAAAAGAAAGAGAGGAGCAGAAUGAACCCUUGUAAACUCCGCAGUGACUCUCUACACAGGUAUCUGUUUUUAUCUUUAUUAGUAAAAUAAUCAUAAUCAAAUGUAAUUGAGAAAUGCCACUCAAGAAUACUAAUCUUACAACAGCUAAAAACUUAUAAUAUAAGUACUGUCUAGUUCAGCCCUCAAAUCUAAUUAAAAUAUAUCUGGAGACAAAACAAAAAUACAGAGCUGAUUCAGUAGGUUAGAAUUUGAGACUUCACAGUAGCCAUUAUGUCCCUGUUUGGGACAAUUGGAUGUGAUUAUUUUUUAAAAAGCCUCUAACAUGGCAGGUAUUUGUAUAUGAAGACAGACCUUCUUAAAAUGCUCCUCACUUGGAUCAUGAGCAUUCCUCUGUGUGAAGAAAACUUUUCCUAAAGGACCACAACAGGAACCCAGGAAAAUACAAUUUUUUUUGGGGGGGGGGUGGGCAGAAGUCAAUUUUGCAGCAAUUGUGAGAGGGCAGCUUCUGUACUGCCCCAGCCCCAGCCCCACCCCCACCCCCAUCCAACCCCUACCCCAUUGUGGAGCACCAUUUUAAACUUGCCCUCAGGUUGUCACGGUAUAUUUUAUGCAGGACUGACCUUAGCGGAGACUCUGCAUGCUGAUGUAUUAUUGACCUUCUUCCCCACUGCUUACUCAAACAGGCCAUCUGGGUACCAGGACGGUACAGGGAAUAUGUCCAACUUUCCAGACCAAGAUAAAAAUAAAUAAAAUGCGGGGGUGGGGGUGGGGAGAAGGAAGGCUCUUAGCUUGUACUAUAGAUUUGUUUAUUCAGACAUAAUUGGCGUGGAUCUGGCCAAGGCACAGUUUCAUUCUUUGUCUAAUCCACUGGCCUCCUAGCCCCUCCCCGCAUUGUUCGUCUCCAUUAAAGUGUGAUGAGCCACUAAGCAAGAAAGGAGGACAGAGAAGCAUUGAGGCCACCACCAACCCCUCAUUAUAGAGUCACACUUCUGGGAAGACUGGAAUUAACCAGGGUGUGAGGAUGGACACUGAGCAAGGGCAGACCCCAUCUCAGCCCAGUUUCCCCUGUUGAGAUCUGCUUCUUUCUCCCUUCUCUCUACUGUGCUGGGAGUGGGCACUGGGGAUCUGGAGCCUACUGAGCUGGUUAUCAUUGCUAGGGGUUUCUUUGGCCAGCAGAACUCAGCCCUCCCCUGGUUGAAUCACAAAGAACCCAACCUUCACAAGACAGGCCAGGCACAGUUAAAGCUUCCUGGUGACUUUUUCCCAGGCUGGAAUCCAUUUUUAGUGGCUUCACUUGGUUGAUCUAUGGGUUCCUUUCAAUGGUGAUAUUGACUUAGGGAACUAGCUCAGAAUGUCAGAUUCAGUUCAUACUGAACUACUCUGCAGUAUCCAAGGAUAUUCAUGAGUUCUCCACAGCAUAGAACACUACCAAUGGCGAAAGGAUUCUGCUUAAGCUUUCUUGAUCAUCAAAAAGCUCUCUUUUCUCUUUUUUUCUGGUGGUAAGUACUAUUUGUUUAUAAUUUAGUUAAGGAGCAUAUAGAUAUAGAUAUAGAUAUGUAGAUAUAUAAAAUAUCUUUAAUAAAUACUUUCCAUAGAAAAAACCUAUCAGUAAUAUCUUGGAUAUCAAUCUUAGCAAUAUCUUUCUGGAUCUAUCUCCUUAGGCAAGGAAACAAAAGCAAAAAUAAACUAUUGGGAUUGCAUCAAAAUAAAAAAAGCUAUUGCACAGUGAAAGUAACCAUCAGCACAAUUAAAAAGGCAACCUAUUGAAGGGGAGAAAAUACUUGUACAUGAUAUAUCUGACCAGGGUUAAUAUCCAAAGUAUAUAAGGAACUCAUACAACUCAACACCACAAAAACAAAUAAUCUGAUUAAAAAGGCAGAAGAUCUGAACAGACAUUUUUCUAAAGAAGACAUAUGGAUGGCCAACAGAUGAGUUAAAAGAUGCUCAACAUCACUCAUCAUCAGGAAAAUGCAAAUCAAAGCCACAGUGAUAUAUUACCUCACACCAAUUAGAAUGGUUAAUAUAAAAAAGACAAAGAACUGACAAGAGUUGUUGAGGAUGUGGAGAAAAGGGGGACCCUUAUGCAAGUUAAUGAGAAUGUAAAGUGGUACAGGUACUCUGAAAAACAGUAUAGAUUUUUUCUUUUUAAAUUGAAAAUAGAAGUACCAUACAAUCCAGUAAUUCCAUUUCUAGGUAUUUACCUGAAGAAAGCAAAAACACUAAUUCAGAAAGAUAUACUCACCCCUAUGUUUGCUGCAAUGUAAUUCACAAUAGCCAAGAUAUGGAAGUACCUUAAGUGCCCACUCACAGAUGAAAGGAUAAAGAAGAUGUGAUAUAUGUGCACAAUAGAAUAUUACUUGGCCAUAAAAAGAAUGAGAGCCUGUCAUUCACAACAACAUGGAUGGAUCUAGAGGGUAUUAUGCUAGGUGAAGUAAGCCAGAUAAAGAAAGACAAAUACCAUAUGAUUUCACUUAUAUGUGGAAUCUAAUAAACAAAACAAAUGAACAAACAAGCAACAAGAACUAAAGAGAGAAAGACUCAUAAAUAGAAAAAACUGGUGGUUAUCAAUUGCAAGGGAAUAUGAGGGCUGGGUGAAAUGGGUGAAGGAGAUUAAGAGGUACAAACUUCCAGUUAUAAAAUAAAUAAGUCACAGGGAUGAAAAGUACAGCAUAGAGAAUAUAGUCAAUAUUAUUGUAUUACACUUAUCGCUGUUAGCAUUUCAUAAUAUAUAUAAUUAUUGAAUCACUACAUUGUACACCUGAAACUAAUUUAAUAUUAUAUGUCAAUUAUGCUUCAAUUAAAAAUUUAAAAAUUAAAAACAUAGUGUUUUAGACUAAAUAUUUAGUACAGUUUGUUUUGUAUGGCAUAGAAAUGCAAUAGAUGUUAGCUAAGAACAAGUGAUCUCCUCCCUGAAGCCUUCUCCCCCCAUUCCUCCUAUCUACUCUCUCUCUCUCUUCUUUGUUCUUCCCCUUCAUAGAGAUUGCUAUAAUAUCCUCCAUUAUAUAUUUUGUUGUUCAUCUAUGUCUACCCUUUUGAGAGUCUGAGGGGCUAGAGCUGCACUUUAGUCAUCUGUGCCAACUCAAUCCUGUGCCCAGCACACAGGACAAAUUCAAUAAAUAUUUGCCAAAUCAAUGACUAAUUAUAGCUAGUUUGCACAGAUUUUCCUCAACUUACAAUGGGAUUACAUUCCAAUAAGCCCAUUGUCAGUUGAAAAUAUUGUAAGUCAAAAAUGCAUUUAAGGGGGAUCCCUGGGUGGCUCAGCGGUUUAGCACCUGCCUUUGGCCCAGGGAGCGAUCCUGAAGUCCCGGGAUCGAGUCCCACGUCAGGCUCCCUGCACGGAGCCUGCUUCUCCCACUGCCUGUGUCUCUGCGCCUCUCCCUCUCCCUCUCUCUCUCUCUCUCUCUCUCUCUCUCUCUCUCUGUCUAUCGCGAAUAAAUAAAUAAAAUCUUUUAAAAAUGCAUUUAGGGAUCCCUGGGUGGCGCAGCGGUUUGGCGCCUGCCUUUGGCCCAGGGCGCGAUCCUGGAGACCCGGGAUCGAGUCCCACGUCGGGCUCCCAGUGCAUGGAGCCUGCUUCUCCCUCUGCCUGUGUCUCUGACUCUCUCUCUCUCUCUCUCUCUGUGACUAUCAUAAAUAAAUAAAAAUUAAAAAAAAAUUUUAUAAAUUGCAUUUAAUACACCUAACUUACCAAACAUCAUAGCUUAGCCUAUCUUAAGGCUAAGAUAGCCUUACAUGCUCAAAACACUUACAUUAGCCUACAAAUGGGCAAAAGCAUCUAAUACAAAGCCCAUUUUAUAAUAAAGCAUUAAAUAUAUUUGUAAUUUAUUGAAUACUGAAAGCAAAAACCAGAAUGGUUUAUAUGGGUACAAA